CGAAGGUUGGCUAAUCCUGGUCGGACAUCAGGAGGUUAGUGCAAUGGCAUAAGCCAGCUUGACUGCGAGCGUGACGGCGCGAGCAGGUGCGAAAGCAGGUCAUAGUGAUCCGGUGGUUCUGAAUGGAAGGGCCAUCGCUCAACGGAUAAAAGGUACUCCGGGGAUAACAGGCUGAUACCGCCCAAGAGUUCAUAUCGACGGCGGUGUUUGGCACCUCGAUGUCGGCUCAUCACAUCCUGGGGCUGAAGUAGGUCCCAAGGGUAUGGCUGUUCGCCAUUUAAAGUGGUACGCGAGCUGGGUUUAGAACGUCGUGAGACAGUUCGGUCCCUAUCUGCCGUGGGCGCUGGAGAACUGAGGGGGGCUGCUCCUAGUACGAGAGGACCGGAGUGGACGCAUCACUGGUGUUCGGGUUGUCAUGCCAAUGGCACUGCCCGGUAGCUAAAUGCGGAAGAGAUAAGUGCUGAAAGCAUCUAAGCACGAAACUUGCCCCGA
rnacentral:rRNA from 4 species